CCCUUAGAUGUUCUGGGCCGCACGCGCGCUACACUGAUUCAUGCAACAAGUUUUGUCCUUGGCUGAUAGGCCUGGGUAAUCUUUGAACGUGAAUCGUGAUGGGGAUAGAUGAUUGCAAUUAUUCAUCUUCAACGAGGAAUUCCUAGUAAACGCAAGUCGUCAGCUUGCAUUGAUUACGUCCCUGCCCUUUGUACACACCGCCCGUCGCACCUACCGAUUGAAUGGUCCGGUGAAAUCUUCGGAUCUGAGAGAUGUCUGAUUAAUUUCGGACGCCUUUUGGAAAAGUUGCUUAAACCUUACCAUUUAGAGGAAGGUGAANUCGUANCA
rnacentral:rRNA from 1 species